CUGAAGUUCAGGCCCUAUAUUCACAGAAUAGGGCCUGACACAAAACCUAUCUAAACUGUGGGAUUCCCGUCCACCUGGUGGACGGGAAAUCUGAUUGGUUGAUCAGCAUCAUGAAGGAUUUUGAUUGGUUGCAUGUUCACAUAAACAACAGUUUUAAAAAUAGCUCGGUCAAGGCGACAAUUAAUAUAAAGGUCAAACGCACGUACAAAUUCCAUUAUCGAUUUCUUCGAAUUUCUUUUUCUUUUAUGCUUUAUGGCAGAAAAUAAAUCAAACAAACAGUAUUUUGAAAGGGC